GCGGAGGGCCUGGUCGGAGCUUGUCCAGCCUUCGCUCCUGAGCGGAGAGGCGCGGUCAGCGCUCCCUACCACAGGGCUGGGAGUGCGUGCUAAUAAGGAGCAGGAAGCCGCCCUCGCCGGAGAAUGAGAACACGCAUGGCGGUCCCCUCUGCGAAUGGCAUUAGGGCAAGAAAACCACAUAAUGAAGCUUGUGCAAAACUGUGUCUCAAGAGUGAAAAUAGCUUUCUUUUCAUAUUUUGAAGUAACUUUUUUCCAGAUCCCCAACAUUUUCAGAGGAGCUUCAGAAACAUAAAAGCCAGUAAGUUCAUCAGCUUCUAAGGAAUCAGCUACAGAGAUGGCAGAACUGAAUGAUGCAUAAAUAAGUGGAUCUAAAAUGGAGAUUUAUCUGAGCAGGCAUUCUCACUGCUGAGAGUAAACUAAGGAAGUAUCCAGUAUGAUCCUUCAUUUAAGAACGGGAAACAAUUCAUCUCUCUUCCCUGAUCCAUCCACUGGACUAAUUGAAGUUACCAGGUGACAUGGACGAAUAGUCUAGAUCAUCUUAAAAUUUGUCAGGAAAUUUGCCGUAUACUAUGGUUGAACAUCAAAUUCAACCCCAGGUUCUUGGUAGCAAUUCUCAUCUGAUAAAAGGAAGCCUACAGUUCUUAAAAAUAUUUCCUGGCACAAAAAUUUAAACGGGGAAAUUAUGAUUUAUAAAGUGGCAUCAAGGAGCCCAGUGGUCGUAAUGCCUUUAACAGUUUCACAGGAAAUGCAGACGUGUUCUUCAAGUGAGUGCUCCUUGAUCAACUCUAAAUAAAAACCAAAUGAGUCACAUCAAAAUAUCUUUUCUGUGAAGAUUUUUUCCGAGGAGGUUAAUCCAAUGGAGUUCAAGCGCAGUAUGUCUGCAUUUAAUGUGAUUUUGAACUAAUCUGAAGUGAUGUGGUAUAAAACAUUAAUAAAG
rnacentral:lncRNA from 1 species